AGCAGCCGCGGUAAUUCCAGCUCCAAUAGCGUAUAUUAAAGUUGUUGCAGUUAAAAAGCUCGUAGUUGAAUUUCGGGAUCAAUACGUCGGUCGUGCUUUCGGGUACGUACUGGCGUCAUUGGUUUCUCCUUUCUGACGAACCAUGAUGUCAUUAAUUUGGUGUCAUGGGGAGUUAGGACUGUUACUUUGAAAAAAUUAGAGUGUUUAAAGCAGGCAUUAGCUUGAAUACAUUAGCAUGGAAUAAUGAAAUAGGACGUUCGAUCCUAUUUUGUUGGUUUCUAGGAUCAACGUAAUGAUUAAUAGGGAUAGUUGGGGGCAUUAGUAUUCAAUUGUCAGAGGUGAAAUUCUUGGAUUUAUUGAAGACUAACUACUGCGAAAGCAUUUGCCAAGGAUGUUUUCAUUAAUCAAGAACGAAAGUUAGGGGAUCGAAGACGAUCAGAUACCGUCGUAGUCUUAACCAUAAACUAUGCCGACUAGGGAUCGGAUGAUGUUAAUUUUUAAUAGUACCCAUUCGGCGUCC
rnacentral:rRNA from 1 species